UACGUAGGGGGCGAGCGUUGUCCGGAUUUAUUGGGCGUAAAGAGCUCGUAGGCGGUUUGGUAAGUCGGGUGUGAAAUCUCCACGCUCAACGUGGAGGGGCCACUCGAUACUGCCAUGACUCGAGUCCGGUAGAGGAGUGUGGAAUUCCCGGUGUAGCGGUGAAAUGCGCAGAUAUCGGGAGGAACACCUAUGGCGAAGGCAGCUCUCUGGGACGGUACUGACGCUGAGACGCGAAAGCGUGGGGAGCGAACAGG
rnacentral:rRNA from 1 species